GUGGACUUGGAUCCAGCAAGGUGCCAGCCCAGAAGUGUGUGUGUGUGUGUGUCUAGUGGACUUGGAUCCAGCAAGGUGCCAGCCCAGAAGUGUGUGUGUGUGUGUGUCUAGUGGACCUGGAUCCAGCAAGGUGCCAGCCCAGAAGUGUGUGUGUGUGUGUGUCUAGUGGACUUGGAUCCAGCAAGGUGCCAGCCCAGAAGUGUGUGUGUGUGUGUCUAGUGGACUUGGAUCCAGCAAGGUGCCAGCCCAGAAGUGUGUGUGUGUGUGUGUCUAGUGGACUUGGAUCCAGCAAGGUGCCAGCCCAGAAGUGUGUGUGUG